rnacentral:rRNA from 1 species
CAUGCAAGUCGAGGGGUAACAGGGAAAGCUUGCUUUCCGCUGACGACCGGCGAACGGGUGCGUAACACGUAUGCAACCUACCUUCCACUGGGGUAUAGCCCAGAGAAAUUUGGAUUAAUCCCCCAUAGAACCAAGAGUUGCAUGGCUCAAUGGUUAAAGGAUUCCGGUGGAAGAUGGGCAUGCGUCCCAUUAGCUAGUAGGUGAGGUAACGGCUCACCUAGGCAACGAUGGGUAGGGGGUCUGAGAGGAUGAUCCCCCACACUGGUACUGAGACACGGACCAGACUCCUACGGGAGGCAGCAGUGAGGAAUAUUGCGCAAUGGACGAAAGUCUGACGCAGCCAUGCCGCGUGAAGGAUGACUGCCCUAUGGGUUGUAAACUUCUUUUAUAUACCAAGAAACCUCAGGACGUGUCCUGAGCUGACGGUAGUAUAUGAAUAAGCAUCGGCUAACUCCGUGCCAGCAGCCGCGGUAAUACGGAGGGUGCAAGCGUUAUCCGGAUUUAUUGGGUUUAAAGGGUCCGUAGGUGGCCCAUUAGGUCGAAGGUGAAAGCCUGCCGCUCAACCGCGGAACUGCCUUUGAUACUGGUGGCUCCUUGAGU